rnacentral:lncRNA from 1 species
AUUAAACGGUUCUUUAAUGAAUACUCAAGAAGGGUAGAAGAGAGAAUGAAAGCUGCAGAGAAAGUCAAUGGCCCAUUAAGCAUAAAGGCUGUGUAGCAAAUCACUAAAGAUGGUCCAUUAUGAGAAACACAAAGAGAGAAAACAAGUGAGUGUCCUAACGACAAGGACAUAACAUAAAGGAAUAUCUCUUGUGAAAAGGAAAGUUUGAUUGU